UGUCCCGCGGCUUCAGUCCUGCUCGGCCCAACGCUCAGGGAAAUGAAGCGGCUCAAUAAAAACUUUUGAUAUUAGUUUUUAUGGGUAUUUACACUGGUCAGGAGAGCUGAGUACGGAAGCUCCAUUAAUCAGCCCCCAACCUCGGUUUGGGAUGCUCAGUUUAU
ensembl:misc_RNA